UCCGGUUGCAUUGCAGAGCGCUCUGCAUUGCAUGCCGGCGAUGCCGCGAGCGAGUCCAGUAGUCUAGGGUUUGGAGACGGCCGUCAUCCCUCGCUUAGCGCCGCUAUUCGUUCGACACGGAGGCGACUAGACGAGCACCGCCUGUAGCCGCAGCCGCAGGGCGGCGCUUCAUAUAGAAUAGCUGGUCAGGCUGUAUCUAUCCCCACGGGAGCAAUAGCAAGGUUGGCGAAUCUGCGGGGCCCUCGCUUGCCGAUUCGGCCGGGGACGCAAGAAACUCCGAUGAUUUUUACCCUACAGGCAAAAUUGGCAGAUGAUGAGAAGUAAAGACAAUUGCAUCUGAUGUGCUCCUAGUUCAUGGGGGCACAAUGGCAUGAUGACUUUGUCUAGGGGAAUCUCUGAUGCUAAUGUGAAUUUUCUUAUAUACUCCGCCUGGUCCAAAUUGUAAGAUGUUUUGGCUUUUAUAGAUAUAUUUGAGAACAUGCAGUGUUUUACCCUAUGAGCAAAAUUGGCAGAUGAUGAAAAGCAAAGACAAUUGCAUCUGCAGUGCUCCUGGUUCAUGGAGGCACAAUGGCAUGAUGACUAUGUCUAGGGGAAUCUCUGAUGCUAACAUGAAUUUUCUUAUAUACUCCGUCCGCUCCAAACUGUAAGACACUUUGGAUGUUUUAGAUAUAUUACUUUUGCUAUGUAUCUAGACAUUGUAUAUCUAAGUGCAUAGCUAAAGCUAUGUAUCUAGAAAAGCCAAAACAUCUUACAAUUUGUAAUGGAGGGAGUAACUUACAAGCUGGAUAGGGUGAUGUGUGUAGAACAUGCUAGUGAUAGGUAUCUUUUGAAUCAGAGUAAUGCAUUGCAAAUUUUUUGGUCAUAAAAGUUUCCUGGCAUCUCAUCUGUGACUGUGAGAGAAGCCAUUUUAUUUAAGUUUGUGUAUUGCGGGGUUAUCAUGAUCUGGCUGAGUUUUCUGGCAUCUCAUCUGUGACUGAGAGAAGCCAUUUUGUUUAAGAUUGUGUAAUACGGGGUUAUCAUGAUCUGGCUGCCUGCACUACAAGCUUUAUCUAAAUGCCAUACAUUGGAGCUUUCUUGUCUGCUGUGUUGGAUUAUAUUUUAUCUCUCAGUUCUCAAAUGCUCCUGAUUAACAAAGAUACCAUCUUGGAUACUUUUUAUGUAUAUGACCCUCAGAUUUCUCUUUGAGGUGGAUCUUAUGCAGAUAUGAUUUAGGGAGAGAUGGAGUCUGCCAAUGGGAUCAUACAUUAGCUUGUGUGUCAUUAAAGAGGGGAGCCCGCCUAACUACAUAGACAGAAGUAGUAAGAACCAUAAAAAAAAAGGCAAGUCACCAAGCCAUAUUGUAUCAGCGAUAAUUUGUAAGGAUUAAGAUCAUAUUCUCAUUCUGGAUGUUGCCAGACCACAUUUUUAUUUUUAUCUCUUUGUUAAAUUUGAGACCAAAAGAUGGUGUAUGCGUUUAA